GUGACACACUUGAGGGGGAUUUCAUGUGCGCUCUCAUAAUUUUGGCUGGAUUAAAGGGGAUGCAGGACCACCAGUUGCCAGAAAAUCGGUAGUG